CCUACGGGGGGCAGCAGUGAGGAAUAUUGGUCAAUGGCCGGAAGGCUGAACCAGCCAUGCCGCGUGAAGGUCAGUGCCCUAUGGGCGUUAAACUUCUUUUGUGCGGGAGCAAUAAUGGUCACGUGUGGCCAGACGAGAGUACCGUACGAAUAAGCAUCGGCUAACUCCGUGCCAGCAGCCGCGGUAAUACGGGGGAUGCAAGCGUUAUCCGGAGUUAUUGGGUUUAAAGGGUGCGUAGGCUGUGAGGUAAGUCAGCGGUGAAAUGCCCCCGCUCAACGGGGUGAAGUGCCAUUGAUACUGCCUGGCUGGAAUGCGGAUGCCGUGGGAGGAAUGUGUGGUGUAGCGGUGAAAUGCAUAGAUAUCACACAGAACACCGAUUGCGAAGGCAUCUCACGAAUCCGCGAUUGACGCUGAUGCACGAAAGCGUGGGUAUCAAACAGGAUUAGAUACCCUGGUAGUC
rnacentral:rRNA from 1 species